UACAGAGGUCCCAAGCGUUGUUCGGAUUCACUGGGCGUAAAGGGUGCGUAGGUGGCCAGGUAAGUUUGGUGUGAAAGCUCGGAGCUUAACUCCGAAAAGUCAUUGAAUACUAUCUGGCUGGAGGGUCGGAGGGGAGACUGGAAUUCUCGGUGUAGCAGUGAAAUGCGUAGAUAUCGAGAGGAACACCAGUGGCGAAGGCGAGUCUCUGGACGACUCCUGACACUGAGGCACGAAAGCCAGGGGAGCAAACGGG
rnacentral:rRNA from 1 species